AAACUCAAAUGAAUUGACGGGGGCCCGCACAAGCGGUGGAGCAUGUGGUUUAAUUCGAUGCAACGCGAAGAACCUUACCUACUCUUGACAUCCAGAGAACUUAGCAGAGAUGCAUUGGUGCCUUCGGGAACUCUGAGACAGGUGCUGCAUGGCUGUCGUCAGCUCGUGUUGUGAAAUGUUGGGUUAAGUCCCGCAACGAGCGCAACCCUUAUCCUUUGUUGCCAGCGGUCAGGCCGGGAACUCAAAGGAGACUGCCAGUGAUAAACUGGAGGAAGGUGGGGAUGACGUCAAGUCAUCAUGGCCCUUACGAGUAGGGCUACACACGUGCUACAAUGGCGCAUACAAAGAGAAGCGACCUCGCGAGAGCAAGCGGACCUCAUAAAGUGCGUCGUAGUCCGGAUUGGAGUCUGCAACUCGACUCCAUGAAGUCGGAAUCGCUAGUAAUCGUGGAUCAGAAUGCCACGGUGAAUACGUUCCCGGGCCUUGUACACACCGCCCGUCACACCAUGGGAGUGGGUUGCAAAAGAAGUAGGUAGCUUAACCUUCGGGAGGGCGCUUACCACUUGUGAUUCAUGCACUGGGGUGAAGUCGUAACAAGGUA
rnacentral:rRNA from 1 species